rnacentral:rRNA from 1 species
GGCGCUUGGGCAAGUCCAUUUGUCACCAGGGUGAAGCUUGCGCUAAACUUCAAAGGCCUGAGCUUCGAGGAUGUCGAGGAGGACCUCAGCAACAAGAGCGAGCUCCUCCUCAGCUCGAACCCGGUGCACAAGAAGGUGCCCGUGCUCGUCCACAACGGAAAACCCAUUUGCGAGUCAGUGAUCAUCGUGCAGUACAUCGAUGAGGCGUUCGCCGGCAUCGGCCCCUCUCUCCUUCCCUCUGACCCCUACGAACGCGCCAUUGCCCGCUUCUGGGCCGCCUACAUUGACGACAAGCUCGUCACCCCAUGGGUAUAG